rnacentral:rRNA from 1 species
GACGAACGCUGGCGGCGUGCUUAACACAUGCAAGUGGAGCGACGAACCGGGCUUCGGCCCGGGGCAAAGCCGCGAACGGGUGAGUAACACGUGGGUAACCUGCCCCGACUGACCGGGACGAACCCGACGGAAACUACGGGCGUAAUACCGGAUGAGCUCGUGCCGCAUCAGUGGCACGAGGAAGGAAGCUUCGGCCUCCGCAUUGGGUAUGGGCCCGCGGCCCAUUAGCUUGUUGGUGGGGUAACGGCCUACCAAGGCUUCGAUGGGUAGCUGGCCUGAGAGGACGAUCAG